AAUAAUAGUAGGGGGC
rnacentral:tRNA from 1 species